UACGUAGGGUGCGAGCGUUGUCCGGAAUUAUUGGGCGUAAAGAGCUUGUAGGCGGUUUGUCGCGUCUGCUGUGAAAUUUCGGGGCUCAACCCCGAACUUGCAGUGGGUACGGGCAGACUAGAGUGUGGUAGGGGAGACUGGAAUUCCUGGUGUAGCGGUGAAAUGCGCAGAUAUCAGGAGGAACACCGAUGGCGAAGGCAGGUCUCUGGGCCACUAUUGACGCUGAGGCGCGAAAGCGUGGGGAGCGAACAGG
rnacentral:rRNA from 1 species